AAAGUUCCCAUCAUAGUUGUUUUAGGAACUUACUACUCAGAGUGUGUCCUGUGGAGCAGCCUCAUUUUCAUGACCUGGGAGCUUGAGCAGAAGAAUCUCAUGCCCUGCCACAGACUUAGUGAAAUAGAAUCUGCAUUUUAUCAAGGCCCCUAGGUAGCAUGAAUGCACAUUGUUUGAGAAGCACCCAAACUAUGUGCCCCAAAUAGAUGGCAAAUCCUUGGGAAUUUGGUUUAUAGCGCAUAGUUGGUGAUUUCCACUGUCUUAUUUAUGAAGCUUUUUGGAUACAUGUUUUAACAUGUUUUUUUAGUAUGUACCCUAAUCCAUACACAUUUGUUGUACUAAUAAGUAUGUGCGUGUACCGGUGAACAGUUAUUAGGUACAUUAUAAGGCAUACAUCAAAACGAAUUUUAAGCUGAGCUGAAGGUGCAGUAAGUAUUAUUUUAAAAUUUGUUGGUAAGCACGGUGAUGUCACACGAUCAUUAGCUAACAUCAAAGCAUGAUGUAUGUUGAGGAUGAAACUUACCAUUAAUAAACAGUCCAUAUUUUGAAUAUU